rnacentral:SRP_RNA from 1 species
GCUGGGCAUGGUGGCACACACCUGUAGUCUCAGCUACUCAGGAGGCUGAGGUGGGAGGAUCACUUGAGUCCAGUAGUUCUGGACUGCAGUGCACUACGCCGAUCACGUGUCCGCACUAAGUUCAGCAUCAACAUGGUGACCCCCUUGGGAGCAGGUUGCCUAAGGAGGGGUGAACCGGCCCAGGUCAGAUGGAGCAGGUCAAAACUCCCGUGCUGAUUAGUCGUGGGAUCAUGCCUAUAAAUGGCCACUGCACUCCAGCCUGGGCAAUAUAGUGAGACCCUGUCUCU